CCUCCUUAGAGAUGCCACCUCCCCCACCACCCACCCCUAAUUUGUGCCUUGCCUCCCCACCCUGGAGUAGUCCCUCCGGGUCACCAGCACUGCCUUGGCAGAGCCCACUCCCUACCCUAACCUGCCCACCCUCCCUGCCCCCCAGCAUUAGGUUGAGACUGUGGGGAAGUGCUGGGGGUUGGGAGGUAGCCGAGGAAUGGGGCAGUUCCCGGGGGCAUUGAAACCAAGUAUUAUUAUGAAUUGUAAUUGUAUUUGCACUGUUUUUUUUCUCUGAUUGCAUCAGCAUAUAUACAAUAUACCUAUAUAACAAAAUUCAGUGUCAAGCUUUCUUAUGCAAGGGAUUUCCCCACCCCCAAAAAAGAACCUAGUUUCAUGGGCCUUUGAGGGUGUAUUGUCAGGAGAUGAUAGAAAUAAUUUAAAUAAGUCAUCCUAAGAAAGUCUCCCUUAGGGGAGAGCCAUAUCCAUCUGUGCACAGUUUUAGGCUUUGCAAAUUGGGGUGAGGCUGGGUUACUGCAAGACUCCGAGACCAGACUGUGGAGAAUAGAGAGAACCACAGCACAAAGGAGGUGGGAUGGUGGCACAGUCUGGAGACCUGGGGUUUAGUCUCGAGCUUUCCUGCUGACUUGUUAUGUGACCUUUGAUAGAGCUAAUUUUCGGGGUCUCAGUUUUAUUUGUGAAGUGAUGGCAGGCAGGGGAGAUCCUCUAGCCACCACGAAGUUUGUAAAGCUUUCUUCCCCAACUGAAAACAAAACAACUUGAGGGGAGGAAACCAAAGUGGCUAGUACUGAAGUGGGUAUAUGUGUGACAGUGCCCGUGGAGAGCUGCCAGGCCCCUGCUGUUCCUUUUGGUUUAGGAAAGGCAGCAGAGUGAUGUUUAGAACUUCAGUUAAAUCUGGGACAUCUUUGCCCUCAUGCCUCUAGCCACCCAAGGGCAGGAACCAGGCCCCAAGCCCCACCUCACAAGCAACUGCCCUCAAGGGUGGUUGACCAAUGAAUACUCCAGGUUGGUGGUCACUCACACCCUUUGUGAGCUACAGAAUGCAGAUCUUUCCCCCAUUUCUUGGUUGGAGAGCUCAGAUAUAGUCCACAUCUUGUCUCCUUCCCUCAGAUCUCAUCUGAACCCCGUUAAAGGCAGCUCUCAACAGCUAUUUCCUUCAGGGGCCCAGUUUCCCCACAGCCUGGGCUGAGUACUCCCACUGUAGGUUCUUGGCUGGUAAAGCCUGGAGAGGAUAUAGGAUGGUGGGUGAAGCCCUGGUGAAGGUGGAAGGAUAGAUUGGUGGUGGGGGGUGGGGAGCAGGGAGGUGGGAUGGGGAAUGGCCUUCUCUGAAUGGGGUGGGUGGGAGGGAAACAAGACCCUUUUGCACAACUCUUUUAAGUUUCCUUUUUUAAAAAAAAAAAAAAACUCAUUCUGAUUUUCUGCAUUGUGUUUGGGAAUUAAAAUGAAAAAACUAAGACCAAUAGAAACUGGUUUUCAAAAAGGCAAAUACACUCCCAUCUGUUUCAGAUGCUGCUGAGCAUUUCAGCGGUGACAGAUUCAAAUAAUAAGCUAAUUUUUGGAGAAAGGAUUAAAAGAAAAAAAAACUUUGUAAUAUUUAUCACUUGCAAGCUAUGUUUAAUAAAGAAAGGAAUGGUUUCUAAA
ensembl:lncRNA